rnacentral:rRNA from 1 species
CGGCAUCUAAUACUGGAUAUGAGCUGCGAUCGCAUGGUCAGCAGUUGGAAAGAUUUUUCGGUCUGGGAUGGGCUCACGGCCUAUCAGCUUGUUGGUGAGGUAAUGGCUCACCAAGGCGUCGACGGGUAGCCGGCCUGAGAGGGUGACCGGCCACACUGGGACUGAGACACGGCCCAGACUCCUACGGGAGGCAGCAGUGGGGAAUAUUGCACAAUGGGCGAAAGCCUGAUGCAGCAACGCCGCGUGAGGGAUGACGGCCUUCGGGUUGUAAACCUCUUUUAGCAGGGAAGAAGCGAAAGUGACGGUACCUGCAGAAAAAGCGCCGGCUAACUACGUGCCAGCAGCCGCGGUAAUACGUAGGGCGCAAGCGUUAUCCGGAAUUAUUGGGCGUAAAGAGCUCGUAGGCGGUUUGUCGCGUCUGCUGUGAAAUCCCGAGGCUCAACCUCGGGUCUGCAGUGGGUACGGGCAGACUAGAGUGCGGUAGGGGAGAUUGGAAUUCCUGGUGUAGCGGUGGAAUGCGCAGAUAUCACGAGGAACACCGAUGGCGAAAGGCAGAUCUCUGGGCCGUUACUGACGCUGAGGAGCGAAAGGGUGGGGAGCAAAC